UGACCCAAGGUUGCCUUGUGACUGUACUGC
rnacentral:sRNA from 1 species